UUAGAGAGAUAAAGUUAAGAGAAUUCAUGAUACAGCCAUAGUUUUCAAGGUGCUGGAGAAAAGUAAAAGAACUUCAUGUUGUUGUGAUGAAAAGUGUUUAGACUCCUUACUUUUCUACUGAUGAUAUGGGGAUUCCCGGAAGAUUUUCAGAAAUUUCAUACUUGCUGAUAGAAUACAAUGAAGAACAAAGGAAAUUUCCAAAGGUCCUGACAAACAUCAAGGUAAACAGUGAACUGGAGAGACGAUUCUACCUGGUCCAGAAAUGCAAAUUGGAUGUUAGUGCAUGGGCAUCCCAUAUGAGGUAUCAGUAAGGAAACAUAGGCUACAGAUAUCAGAACAUAGUGCAGCCAGUAAUAAAAGCGUAGAUGAUGGUAGUUUUUCAUACAGAAUACUUCCACGACCACGCGUGUGCUGUGCACUACUGAGCAAUGCAUGGGUGACUGUCAUCAUGAGCAUCUAGUACCUCUCAGGGUAGAGUAAGGUUCCUCAGUGUCACCAACUCUCAUGACCUCUAACACAUGCUGGGGAGCUGUGGAAGGCCCUAUGGAAGACCAGCAUCUUGAGCUGACCUCCAAGUACCCUUAAGACCUAUGUGGUGUUCCAGACCUCACAUGUUGUCAUCAUGGCUUCAUUGUUUCCUAAUGCCCUUUAACACCUACCAUUUAGAAAGUUUGAUAAAGGGGUGAGGGAUACCAGGAAGUCCACAGUGUUACUGUAGCAAGGAGAUGAAAACGCAGGUAUAUCAUUAUUCUAAAAAGUUUCUGAUCCACACAUUUUUUGGUACACAUUCUUAAGCCAUUUGCAUGAUUUUCCAAAAUGCAGAUUGAAUACAAAAAGAAGAAAACUCUGUUGGUACUAACCCACAUGUCAUUAUGGAAACAUCCUCUUGGAAGAUCCUCCUGGAGGUAGAAUGCAACAUGGAUGGUCAUUGGAUGGUCAUAACGUAUGAGAUGGCCGGCCCAAGAGCAUUGCACAGCAGAAGUGCUGAUAACACUGGCAAGAAGAUCAAGGCAGACUCAGUGGUUCUGAUACACCUCCAAGGAAAGAAAUCAUCUGGGAAAUGUCAUCUUAGAAAAAAGUGUAACUUGCAGAAUCAUGGAAUGGCAUUCCCUAUAAGGUCACUGAAGAAAUGGAUUUAA
rnacentral:lncRNA from 1 species